rnacentral:misc_RNA from 1 species
GAUAAAAUGAAUCCGUUGUACAGUACUCCUCGGGAAAUCACAAAGAAUCAGUAGAUUGCUUUCAUCUUAUCUUGUGUAAAAUCUAGGUCAGAGGUAUCAAAACUUUUAGCUUUUUUUAUGGGAUUUAAUGCACACUAAUUGAAAAUUGAUUUUGUCUAAAUCACAUGCUUCAAAGUUCUAAAAUGGCCGAUUAGCAGAAUUCCAAUGAAGACGACGAGCUUGGAAUGGC